rnacentral:rRNA from 1 species
GCCUUAAAUCUAGCCCACACCACUCGCAUGACUUCCCUAAUCCCCUACCCUCAAACAAAACA